UGGCGCACGGGUGCGUAACGCGUAACCAACCUACCCGAAUCUGGGGGAUAGCCCGCCGAAAGGCGGAUUAAUACCGCAUAAAACCACAGCCUGGCAUCAGGUAAUGGUUAAAGAUUUAUUGGAUUCGGAUGGGGUUGCGUGCCAUUAGCUAGUUGGGGGGGUUACGGCCCACCAAGGCGACGAUGGCUAGGGGAGCUGAGAGGCUGGUCCCCCACACGGGCACUGAGAUACGGGCCCGACUCCUACGGGAGGCAGCAGUAGGGAAUAUUGGGCAAUGGGCGAGAGCCUGACCCAGCCAUGCCGCGUGCAGGAUGAAGGCUUUCUGAGUCGUAAACUGCUUUUACCAGGGAAGAAAAAAGGGGAUGCGUCCUCUACUGACGGUACCUGGUGAAUAAGCACCGGCUAACUCCGUGCCAGCAGCCGCGGUAAUACGGAGGGUGCAAGCGUUGUCCGGAUUUAUUGGGUUUAAAGGGUGCGUAGGCGGCUGAUUAAGUCUGGGGUGAAAGCCCGUUGCUCAACAACGGAACUGCCCUGGAAAC
rnacentral:rRNA from 1 species